rnacentral:rRNA from 1 species
GCCCAGACUCCUACGGGAGGCAGCAGUGGGGAAUAUUGCACAAUGGGGGAAACCCUGAUGCAGCGACGCCGCGUGAGCGAUGAAGUAUUUCGGUAUGUAAAGCUCUAUCAGCAGGGAAGAAAAUGACGGUACCUGACUAAGAAGCCCCGGCUAACUACGUGCCAGCAGCCGCGGUAAUACGUAGGGGGCAAGCGUUAUCCGGAUUUACUGGGUGUAAAGGGAGCGUAGACGGCUGUGCAAGCCAGAUGUGAAAGCCCGGGGCUCAACCCCGGGACUGCAUUUGGAACUGUGUGGCUGGAGUGUCGGAGAGGCAGGCGGAAUUCCUAGUGUAGCGGUGAAAUGCGUAGAUAUUAGGAGGAACACCAGUGGCGAAGGCGGCCUGCUGGACGAUGACUGACGUUGAGGCUCGAAAGCGUGGGGAGCAAACAGGAUUAGAUACCCCUGUA